UACGUAGGUGGCAAGCGUUGUCCGGAAUUAUUGGGCGUAAAGCGCGCGCAGGUGGUUUUCUUAAGUCUGAUGUGAAAGCCCACGGCUCAACCGUGGAGGGUCAUUGGAAACUGGGGAACUUGAGUGCAGGAGAGAAGAGUGGAAUUCCACGUGUAGUGGUGAAAUGCGUAGAUAUCGGGAGGAACACCAGUGGCGAAGGCGACUAUCUGGGCUGCAACUGACGCUGAGGCGCGAAGGCUAGGGUAGCAAACAGG
rnacentral:rRNA from 1 species